rnacentral:rRNA from 1 species
UAAGACGAACCGUGCGAACGUUGUUCGGAAUCACUGGGCUUAAAGGGCGCGUAGGCGGCUUGCCAAGUCCGGGGUGAAAGCCUCCAGCUCAACUGGAGAAGUGCCUUGGAUACUGGCGAGCUCGAGCGAGGUAGGGGCAGUUGGAACUUCCGGUGGAGCGGUGAAAUGCGUUGAUAUCGGAAGGAACGCCGGUGGCGAAAGCGAACUGCUGGACCUCUUCUGACGCUGAGGCGCGAAAGCUAGGGGAGAGAACGGGAUUAGAUACCCCGGUAUUCCUAGCCCUAAACGAUGGGUACUAGAUAGUGGACUUAACAUGGGUUCACUGUCGAAGCAAAAGUGGUAAGUACCCCGCCUGGGGAGUAUGGUCGCAAGGCUG